rnacentral:rRNA from 1 species
CCGCGGUAAUACCGACUCCAAGAGUGUGUAUGAGAGAUGCUGCAGUUAAAAAGUCCGUAGUCAUAGAAGGGCAAAGAGAGAUGCGAGGUCUCACAGUGCGAUGAUGGAGGAGCCGAUGGGGAACAUAGUAUACCAGGGCGAGAGAUGAAAUGCCAAGACCCCUGGUGGACUGAGCGAGGCGAAGGCGAUGUUCUUGUAGGCAUUCGGUGAUCAAGGACGAAGGCUGGAGUAUCGAAAGUGAUUAGAUACCGCAGUAGUUCCAGCAGUAAAAGAUGCCGACAUGCUCAUUGGACACAGUGGGCAGGGAGAAAUCUUAGAGUUCGGGCUCUGGGGAUAGUAUGCUCGCAAGGGUGAAAAUUAAAGAAAUUGACGGAGCUACACCACAAGGAGUGGAUUGUGCGGCUUAAUUUGACUCAACGCGAGGAAACUUACCAGGGCCAAGUAUUGUGUAGAAACGAGCAAUACAGGAGUGGUGCAUGGUCGUUGGAAAUUGAUGGGAUGACUUUGACCUUAAAUGGUUGAAUGAGUGAGAUCUUUUGGACAUGUUCCGCACGGAACAGGAAGGAAAAGGCUAUAACAGAUCCGAGAUGCCCUCAGAUGCCCUGGGCUGCACGCGCAAUACAAUAGCAGGUAGAGAGAGAGACAGGAAGGUGCUCAGAUGGACUAUGUGCUGUAAGGCACAUACGAAAGAGGAA